CACGUUCGUCUGAGUACCGUGAAAAGAGAAACAGACCAAGGAUGGAAUGAAUGGGGACAAAAAGUUUCAUAAAGCUGGUCCACAAAGAAGGUCUGGCGGACCAUUUGUCAGUGCAGGCCUAUUUCUCGUAACCUUUUCUUUCGCUUUAGAGGUACCGCCUGUAUUACAUAACAUGAUUACGACUUCGUCAAAGAAUGACGAGUCUCGCAAUCACGCCGGAGAGGCAAGAUCCACGUGGCCGCCUCUGCCAUCUUGAAAACGUGUCUGUGAAAGCGUCCACCAAAAUCUCAAUUUACUUGACGAAAAUUCAUAGUUCAACAGAAACAACAUCAUAGAAUCGAUGAGCUCCCGCAUCCUGAUGUCCUACAGAGACUGCCGCUUCUCAUUUCAACUAGGAAAAUAAUUGACGACAAAGAACUUGUUCACGUGCUCUAUCCAGCCCAUUCUCCGCAGCUUUUCUCCAUACGAUGGCGACUCGACUUCAGUUCUUCCGUUUAUCUGUAACUUCAUUUAAUCUGUAUGAUCUUUUGAACUA